CUACGGGUCGCAGCAGUGAGGAAUAUUGGACAAUGGGCGAAAGCCUGAUCCAGCAAUACCGCGUGAGUGACGAAGGCCUUAGGGUUGUAAAGCUCUUUCAGUGGGGAAGAUUAUGACGGUACCCACAGAAGAAGCACCGGCUAACCUCGUGCCAGCAGCCGCGGUAAUACGAGGGGUGCUAGCGUUGUUCGGAAUUAUUGGGCGUAAAGAGCGCGUAGGCGGUCUUGUAAGUUAGAAGUGAAAUCCCUGAGCUUAACUUGGGAACUGCUUCUAAAACUGCGAGACUUGAGUUUGGAAGGGGGUGACGGAAUUUCUAGUGUAGAGGUGAAAUUCGUAGAUAUUAGAAGGAACACCGGUGGCGAAGGCGGUCACCUGGGCCAAUACUGACGCUGUGGCGCGAAAGCGUGGGGAGCAAACAGGAUUAGAUACCCCUGUAGUC
rnacentral:rRNA from 1 species